CCUACGGGUGGCUGCAGUGAGGAAUAUUGGUCAAUGGCCGGAAGGCUGAACCAGCCAUGCCGCGUGAAGGUCAGUGCCCUAUGGGCGUUAAACUUCUUUUGUGCGGGAGCAAUAAUGGUCACGUGUGGCCAGACGAGAGUACCGUACGAAUAAGCAUCGGCUAACGCCGUGCCAGCAGCCGCGGUAAUACGGGGGAUGCAAGCGUUAUCCGGAUUUAUUGGGUUUAAAGGGUGCGUAGGCGGGACUGCAAGUUGGGUGUCAAAUCUACCGGCUCAACCGGUAGCCGCACUCAAAACUGCAGUUCUUGAGUGAAGUAGAGGCAGGCGGAAGUCCUAGUGUAGCGGUGAAAUGCGUAGAUAUUAGGAGGAACACCAGUGGCGAAGGCGGCCUGCUGGGCUUUUACUGACGCUGAGGCUCGAAAGUGUGGGGAGCAAACAGGAUUAGAUACCCGGGUAGUC
rnacentral:rRNA from 1 species